UUAACAAUAGUUUAAAAAGAAUUAUUGUUUUGGGGAUAAUAGGUUUCGUUAAGAAUUGUUAAA
rnacentral:tRNA from 1 species